UUUCCGUAGGUGAACCUGCGGAAGGAUCAUUGCUGAAAUAUAUUUGCCAAUAUAUAUGUCCGUUCACACCCGUGCAUUCUUAACGUGAGAGGGGGGAGACCCCCCCUUGCGUCUUUAUACAUAUAAUAACACAUGCCUGUCGUUAUGCGUGCGAUUUGAGAAACAGUCUAAAUAAGACAGACACAACUUUCAACAACGGAUCUCUUGGCUUUCGCAUCGAUGAAGAACGCAGC
rnacentral:misc_RNA from 1 species